UACGUAGGGUGCGAGCGUUAAUCGGAAUUACUGGGCGUAAAGUGUGCGCAGGCGGCUGAGCAAGUCGAGUGUGAAAGCCCCGGGCUUAACUUGGGAAUUGCGCUGAAACUACUUGGCUGGAGUGUGGCAGAGGAGGGUGGAAUUCCACGUGUAGCGGUGAAUGACGUAGAGAUGUGGAGGAACACCAAUGGCGAAGGCAGCCCUCUGGGCCAACACUGACGCUCAUGCACGAAAGCGUGGGGAGCAAACAGG
rnacentral:rRNA from 1 species